GUGCCAGCCGCCGCGGUAAUACGGAGGGAGCUAGCGUUGUUCGGAAUUACUGGGCGUAAAGCGCGCGUAGGCGGCUAUUCAAGUCAGGGGUGAAAUCCCGGGGCUCAACCCCGGAACUGCCUUUGAAACUGGAUGGCUAGAAUCUUGGAGAGGUCAGUGGAAUUCCGAGUGUAGAGGUGAAAUUCGUAGAUAUUCGGAAGAACACCAGUGGCGAAGGCGACUGACUGGACAAGUAUUGACGCUGAGGUGCGAAAGCGUGGGGAGCAAACAGGAUUAGAAACCCCGGUAGUCC
rnacentral:rRNA from 1 species